AUAGAAAUAGAUGAAUCAAACGGCUGUCAAAGAACUCAAAUAAUAAUCCACCCAAACAUGUCCAUAAAGCCUCUAAAUACAGAGUAACAUCUAAGUUAGAACAUACCCUUUACUAUGACCAAAAAGAAUCCAAAAGCACUAUGACAAGAAAUAAAGAAUAAUGAAAUGACAAGGCCUUCUGAAGAAUGGAGUAUCACCACUUUAUAGUAACUCAACAUACGUGUUUGACCAUGUAAU
rnacentral:lncRNA from 1 species